rnacentral:rRNA from 1 species
UACAGAGGGUGCUAGCGUUGUUCGGAAUCAUUGGGCGUAAAGGGCGUGUAGGCGGUUUGUUAAGUCAUGUGUGAAAUCCCUCGGCUCAACCGGGGAACGACGCAUGAAACUGGCAAGCUAGAGUACCAAAGAGGGGGGUGGAAUUCCUAGUGUAGAGGUGAAAUUCGUAGAUAUUAGGAAGAACACCGGUGGCGAAGGCGGCCCACUGGAUCGGUACUGACGCUGAGGUGCGAAAGCGUGGGGAGCAAACAGG